GGUGAGAUGUCCGAGAGGCUGAAGGAGCACGCCUGGAAAGUGUGUAUGCGCGAAAGUGCAUCGAGGGUUCGAAUCCCUCUCUCACCG
rnacentral:tRNA from 1 species